CUUUGAGCGAGGACACCGAAGCAGGAAGAUCAACGAGCGAUGUUGCCACUGGUAAUAGAAAGGACACAAUCAGCUCUACAAAAGACUUGUCAUAGAGGGCUCAGAACAGCUGGAUCCCGACCAGCCCAGGCCUCCAGGUAGUGGACCUGCUCAUGGACCAGCAGACAUGUCCCAGUCACGAGCAGAUGGA